rnacentral:rRNA from 1 species
UACAGAGACUGCAAGCGUUAUUCGGAUUCACUGGGCGUAAAGGGUGCGCAGGCGGCCAAGUGUGUCAGGUGUGAAAUCCCGAGGCUUAACCUCGGAACUGCGCCCGAAACUACUUGGCUAGAGUACUGGAGAGGGUAACGGAAUUCACGGUGUAGCAGUGAAAUGCGUAGAUACUGAUAGGAAGGCCAAAGGCGAAGGCAGCUUUCUGGACCAAUGACUGACGCUGAGAUACUAAAGCUAGGGGAGCAAACAGG